CCUACGGGGCGCUGCAGUGAGGAAUAUUGGUCAAUGGACGAGAGUCUGAACCAGCCAAGUAGCGUGAAGGAUGACUGCCCUAUGGGUUGUAAACUUCUUUUAUAUGGGAAUAAAACGUUCCACGUGUGGGAUUUUGUAUGUACCAUAUGAAUAAGGAUCGGCUAAUUCGUUCCAGCAGACGGGGUAAUUCGGAGGAUCCGAGCGUUAUCCGGAUUUAUUGGGUUUUAAGGGAGAUUUGGUGGAUUGUUAAGUCAGUUGUGAAAGUUUGCGGCUCAACCGUAAAAUUGCAGUUGAAACUGGCAGUCUUGAGUACAGUAGAGGUGGGCGGAAUGCGUGGUGUAGCGGUGAAAUGCUUAGAUAUCACGAAGAACUCCGAUUGCGAAGGCAGCUCACUGGACUGCAACUGACACUGAGGCUCGAAAGUGUGGGUAUCAAACAGGAUUAGAUACCCCAGUAGUC
rnacentral:rRNA from 1 species